UACGGGGGGGGCAAGCGUUGUUCGGAAUUACUGGGCGUAAAGGGCUCGUAGGCGGCCAACUAAGUCGGACGUGAAAUCCCUCGGCUUAACCGGGGAACUGCGUCCGAUACUGGAUGGCUUGAGUAUGGGAGAGGGAUGCGGAAUUCCAGGUGUAGCGGUGAAAUGCGUAGAUAUCUGGAGGAACACCGGUGGCGAAGGCGGCAUCCUGGACCAUUACUGACGCUGAGGAGCGAAAGCCAGGGGGGCAAACGGG
rnacentral:rRNA from 1 species